AGCCUCGAAAAACCCAAGCCUCGAUUAUCGAGUAAAUACGUGGUGGUGGAUCUCGCAACAAUAACGUCGUGAAGCAACCUUGUAUUUAAAUUUCAAAUAAAAAAAGGCCUGUC
rnacentral:ncRNA from 1 species